rnacentral:rRNA from 1 species
UACGAAGGGUGCAAACGUUGCUCGGAAUUAUUGGGCGUAAAGCGCACGUAGGCGGCUUGGCAAGUCGGAUGUGAAAUCCCUCGGCUCAACCAAGGAAGUGCAUCCGAAACUGCCGAGCUUGAGUACUUAAGAGGAUCGCGGAAUUCCUGGUGUAGCGGUGAAAUGCGCAGAUAUCAGGAGGAACACCGGUGGCGAAGGCGGAUCUCUGGGCCUUACCUGACGCUGAGGCGCGAAAGCUAGGGGAGCAAACAGG